AUGAGAAUAUCAUUUUCAAUUAGGAGGAUGCCAUCUACAUACAAUAUGAGGAAUGUGACAGUGCUCCCUCUGAUCUUUUUGUACACACAUAGCUCCUCCUCAUUUUUUAUGAAAUCAAGCAUUUUUUAUCACAUCAUUAAAGCAAGUAUUCGAACUCCAAGAUGCUUGCUGGAGUCCAUAUAUAGACCUUUGCAGCUUGCAGACCUUGUGAUCACUAUCACUAAAUGUAAAAC
rnacentral:lncRNA from 1 species